rnacentral:lncRNA from 1 species
GUUUUCAGAUGAGUGCAUCAGAUUUUUUUCCCUCUUCGGCCUAAAGAGGAAUUACCAUCAGCCAUCACCAGGAAGAGCAAGUUAACUUUUCAGGUUGUUUCUCAGAGACCAUUUAAAGUCUGUGCUAUAGAGUAGGCAUGGCUCCAGUUCCAGAAGGAAGACUUGGGUCAAGUAGCUCACAGGCAAAUGACUUAAAUGCUUCUUAUAAGAUACUACCUGAAACAAUCUCUGCUUAAAACAUCCGAUCUCCAUAUUGUCGGAUCUUCCUAUAACUCUGGGAUGGCAGCUUUUAGUAGCAGCUAAAGAUGUAAGUAUUUUAAAAUCUAUUACAGAAAUGUUUUAUUUGAAAAUUUAAAAUGUUUUUAUGCUGACUAUAUUAGAUUUCUGUUAUAAAUAAGAUUAGUAGCCUAGAAGAAGAUUAAUAAUUGAUUAUUCUGGAAUUUAUAGAGCUUUUACAUUAACACUUUGGUCACAUGUUUAAAAGGUUUCAUCUCAUUUCCCAGAUUGCCUCUACUCCCUCCCUGUUCUACUCCAGUGUGGCAUAAAAAUGCAAGCUGCUUAAAAUUCUCAAAAGCAUUUGUAUGUCUGGAGUUUCAUUGUUUAUUUAUCAAAGGAUAAUACCAAUUAUACUUUUCACUUAUCUGGAUUUAAGAAUGGUGUUUAUAGAAAAAAUUAAAAAGUAAUACCAACUAUGCCCAACUUUCCCCCUAAGUGUUAACAGUUAAUUUAAUGACAAACUUUUCCAUUCAAGUAAUUAGGUCCUGAAGACAAAUAUUAAACUUCAAAACAAAUAAAUAGUUCAAAUAUACUGGGAGCAUAGCAGGAAAGCUAGGAUUUUAGUUAUUUAAGGCUAUCGCAAAAGGGAAGUUUGAAGUGCUAUGGAAUUAUAGUGAUGCUGUAUGGAGGUUCCAAGAGGAAAUAAUGAAUAACAGGCUGAAACCCAUUCACUCUAAGGAACCAUCAUUGCCAUUGCUGUGGCUUAAGCAACUUUUUAUUCUCUCUUCCUCUGUUGGAUCAUUUAGUAGUGGCUAAGAAUAAAUUUGAUUGAAACAAAAGCAAAAACAAAAACUUCCCAUAUUUAAAAUACCUUCUGUAGAUUUCACCAAAAAACAAAGGACUUUCAACAUGAUGACUGCUCCUUGUGGUUUCUUCUAAAUUCUGUUGUUCCUGAAUAAGCAGAACUCAGCAAGUGGGCCUCUCCCUCCACUGGCCUCCACAUAUUGCCACCCCCAACCCAAGCAGUAUGACCACAGCAGUUUCUGUUCACUCCACAUUUGCUUCUUCCAAAAGAAAAGUAGUAUACUUUAGUGGUUAAGGAGCUUUGGAAUCAGGCAAACGUGAGCGCCAAACCUUAACAUUUUCUAGGCAGCCUCUAAGUUUUCAUGUUCUCAUCAAUAAAAGAGCCUAACAAUAGUCCUACCUCACAGGCUUAAUGUGAGGGUUAAAUGGGACCAUGUUUGUAAAGGGUUUCACAUAGUGUAUAAGACAUAAUAAUGACUCAUGAAUGGUAGUUGAAAAUGUGCACCCUCACUUAUGAGUCUCUUUUCUUCUUCCUUUUCUCCUUCCCCUGGAGACACUUAGAAAAGAAAGCACGACCAGGCGCAGUGGCUCACACCUGUAAUCCCAGCACUUUGGGAGGCCGAGGCAGGCAACUCACCUGAGGUCAGGAGUUUGAAACCAGGCUAGCCAACAUGGUGAAACCCCUUCUCUACUAAAGAUACAAAACUUAGCUGGGUGUAGUGGUGGGCGCCUGUAGUCUUGGCUACUCGGGAGGCUGAAGCAGGAGGAUCACUUGAACCAGGGAGGUGGAGGCUGUGGUGAGCCAAGAUUGUACCACUGCACUCCAGCCUGGGAGACAGACAGAAUAGUUAUUAGUGGUAGCUGCUCCUGGAGAAUGUUCAUUCCCCAGCUCUUCCACCUGCAUGUACAGAGUAGCUACACUUGGCUUUGGAGAAAAUAUCAAAGAGAUACAGACUUGGCCUUUCUCCAGCCUUCACUUCAAGAGAGGAAUGGGCAACAUACACCUCAGGUGUUGGCUCCCUAUUGGAAACCAUGAUGUAGCCCAAUCAGCAGCCAGGCUCUGAUUUCAACUUGCUGCAGAGUGACAAACAUGGAAUUUGAAUAGCAAAAAUUCCCUUCCCAGAGAGAGCAAGCCAGCACUGACAGAGUAAAAAGGAUUUUUGGAAUAGCUGCUCCUUAUUUAUACUUUACUUCUAGGAUUGUGGGCUAGAAAUAUACAUAAAUGGAUCAUCUGAAGAAAAAUAUCAUUUACAUGCAGGGGUGAUCCUGUCACAGUCCCAGUGGUCUCAAGGCAGGAAGGGAAAAAUCUACUUUUUUGAUGAUCUACUCCAAUAUUUAAAUGUCCUUGACUUCAAACAACAAAAAUAACUUAUAUUUGUUGGACAUUUACUGUGCAUCAGAGUGCAAAGCUGAGCUCAUUUAAUCCUCCCAACCACCUCAUGAGGUAAUUACUUCUAUUAUCUGUAUUCUUCAUAUGAGAAAACUGAAGGUCAGAUGAAUGAAGAAAUCUGCCCGAAGUUAUCUACUGCUAUUAAGUGUUUGGAGCUAUUAAGGAUACUGUAACCUGUCUUUUUGAAUCCAAUAUGCACAACCUUAACUUACAUUUAUUAAGUUCAUUUUUGCAUGCCCUCAAUAAAGAGAAAGACCCAGUUACUCAGUGUUGUCCACAUAAUUCUUCAAAUACCCUUUUCUUGAAGCUAUCCAUUUCUUUAUCUAUUUCUCUUAUAUCUUUCUUUCUUUUUUUUCUUUUUUUUUUUUUUGAGAUGGAGUUUCGCUCUUGUUGCCCAGACUGGAGUGCAAUGGUAUGAUCUCAGCUCACUGCAACCUCUGCCUCCCAGG